rnacentral:rRNA from 1 species
CCCUUAGAGUUUGAUCCUGGCUCAGGAUGAACGCUAGCGGCAGGCUUAAUACAUGCAAGUCGAGGGGCAGCAGGACUGUAGCAAUACAGUUGCUGGCGACCGGCAAACGGGUGCGGAACACGUACGCAACCUUCCUUUAAGUGAGGAAUAGCCCAGGGAAACUUGGAUUAAUACCUCGUAAUAUUUGAGAGUGGCAUCACUCUUCAAUUAUAGCUCAGGCGCUUAAAGAUGGGCGUGCGACUGAUUAGGUAGUUGGCGGGGUAACGGCCCACCAAGCCUGCGAUCAGUAACUGGCGUGAGAGCACGACCAGUCACACGGGCACUGAGACACGGGCCCGACUCCUACGGGAGGCAGCAGUAAGGAAUAUUGGUCAAUGGACGCAAGUCUGAACCAGCCAUGCCGCGUGGAGGAUGAAGGUCCUCUGGAUUGUAAACUUCUUUUAUUUGGGAAGAAACCCAUAUUUUCUAAUGUGGUUGACGGUACCAGAUGAAUAAGCACCGGCUAACUCCGUGCCAGCAGCCGCGGUAAUACGGAGGGUGCAAGCGUUAUCCGGAUUCACUGGGUUUAAAGGGUGCGUAGGCGGGUUGGUAAGUCCGUGGUGAAAUCUCCAAGCUUAACUUGGAAACUGCCGUGGAUACUAUCAAUCUUGAAUAUCGUGGAGGUAAGCGGAAUAUGUCAUGUAGCGGUGAAAUGCUUAGAUAUGACAUAGAACACCAAUUGCGUAGGCAGCUUACUACACGAUCAUUGACGCUGAGCACGAAAGCGUGGGGAGCAA